ACAAGUGAUAGAAAAAAGAAAAUAUUCUUCAUAUGCCGUUCCAUACAAAGCACUGCCCAAGAUGAUCAUGUGUCUGUCAUACGAGGAGGAGAUUUGAAUCAAUCAAAUGUUUGACACCGAACUCACAUGUUGACAACUUUACGAUGUUUGAACAAGCUGCAGACGGGGCAAUAGCCAUUCGACACAUCCAGGACGCGUCGUCAAAAGGGGCUUGUAUCGGCGCAAUGCGAAAUCGAAUACAGCAUGUCUUGCAAACCUGAGUCUGUUGACUGACCCAGCAAGCAACAAACAGACUGACUACAUACUCUCUGUACUUCGGCCGCCGAGAAGCACGGCAAACCCCUGGCUAGGCCUCAUUAGGCUGCGUUAGCCUCGAAACACCAGGUACAGCUUUACGGAGUAUGUAUGACUAUGUACGGAUUUGUUUGACCCUUGACCCAAUCAGAGGGCCAUAUUUUAGUAAAUUAGAGUACUACUGCGUAUGUAGUAAGUUUAAAUACGG
rnacentral:lncRNA from 1 species